UGCAGUCGAGCGGUAACAGGGGUAGCUUGCUACCCGCUGACGAGCGGCGGACGGGUGAGUAAUGCUUAGGAAUCUGCCCAGUAGUGGGGGAUAGCCCGGGGAAACCCGGAUUAAUACCGCAUACGUCCUACGGGAGAAAGCAGGGGAUCUUCGGACCUUGCGCUAUUGGAUGAGCCUAAGUCGGAUUAGCUAGUUGGUGGGGUAAAGGCCUACCAAGGCGACGAUCCGUAGCUGGUCUGAGAGGAUGAUCAGCCACAUCGGGACUGAGACACGGCCCGAACUCCUACGGGAGGCAGCAGUGGGGAAUAUUGGACAAUGGGGGCAACCCUGAUCCAGCCAUGCCGCGUGUGUGAAGAAGGCUUUCGGGUUGUAAAGCACUUUCAGUAGGGAGGAAAACCUU
rnacentral:rRNA from 1 species